AAUUCGCCCUUAGUUUAUCCUGCUCAGAUUGAACGCUGGCGGCAUGCCUUACACAUGCAAGUCGAACGGCAGCAUGAUCUAGCUUGCUAGAUUGAUGGCGAGUGGUGAACGGGUGAGUAAUACAUCGGAACGUGCCCUGUAGUGGGGGAUAACUAGUCGAAAGAUUAGCUAAUACCGCAUACGACCUGAGGGUGAAAGUGGGGGACCGCAAGGCCUCAUGCUAUAGGAGCGGCCGAUGUCUGAUUAGCUAGUUGGUGAGGUAAAGGCUCACCAAGGCGACGAUCAGUAGCUGGUCUGAGAGGACGAUCAGCCACACUGGGACUGAGACACGGCCCAGACUCCUACGGGAGGCAGCAGUGGGGAAUUUUGGACAAUGGGCGAAAGCCUGAUCCAGCAAUGCCGCGUGUGUGAAGAAGGCCUUCGGGUUGUAAAGCACUUUUGUCCGGAAAGAAAUGGCUCUGGUUAAUACCUGGGGUCGAUGACGGUACCGGAAGAAUAAGGACCGGCUAACUACGUGCCAGCAGCCGCGGUAAUACGUAGGGUCCAAGCGUUAAUCGGAAUUACUGGGCGUAAAGCGUGCGCAGGCGGUUGUGCAAGACCGAUGUGAAAUCCCCGAGCUUAACUUGGGAAUUGCAUUGGUGACUGCACGGCUAGAGUGUGUCAGAGGGGGGUAGAAUUCCACGUGUAGCAGUGAAAUGCGUAGAGAUGUGGAGGAAUACCGAUGGCGAAGGCAGCCCCCUGGGAUAACACUGACGCUCAUGCACGAAAGCGUGGGGAGCAAACAGGAUUAGAUACCCAGGUAGUCCACGCCCUAAACGAUGUCAAUUAGUUGUUGGGGAUUCAUUUCCUUAGUAACGUAGCUACGCGUGAAGUUGACCGCCUGGGGAGUACGGUCGCAAGAUUAAAACUCAAAGG
rnacentral:rRNA from 1 species